GGGUCAGUAGGUUGGUCGUGCCACCGGUACGUACUGGUCUCACUGAUUCCUCCUUCCUGAAGUACCGUAAUGCCAUUAAUUUGGUGUUGCGGGGAAACUGGACUGUUACUUUGAAAAAAUUAGAGUGUUUAAAGCAAGCUAACGCUUGAAUACAUUAGCAUGGAAUAAUGAAAUAGGACGAUCGAUCCUAUUUUGUUGGUUUCUAGGAUUGACGUA
rnacentral:rRNA from 1 species